CCUGAAAUACGACCCAUCAGAGCGUAUACUACAAUUGCGCCCUAUCGGCAAAAAGGUCGUGUUCAUAUUAAUGUUUUGUACUCUUUUAUUUUGCACCGUGAUUUGCGUUUCGUGUAGCUCAGUUGGUAGAUUGUGCGUUAUACCUUGAUAUGCAAUCAUGCUAUCAUCGGGGUUCGAUCUCCGAGAAUGGACGUGCACGUAAAAUGUAUAUGCUCAAAAAUCAUAAUUUAGCAUGAUUUCUGUGAGGGUUAGGUUUAGGGGGUGGGGUUAGGUGUGGUCAUUCCGAACGAAUAAGCCUCCUAGUAAAAUAUGUACGAAUUACUGUGAGAUCAGUGUAAAAAGUCCACACAUUGCAUUUUAAAUAAACGUGCGUUUUGAUUGGUAAUGACAUUAUACGUCAUUUCAUGACGACAGACGCAACGCGAUACUGUCAUUAUUUUUACGCCCGCUAGAGGCCGCUUAACGUUAAAACGUAAAAAUAGGUCGUAAUAAGGUGCUUGCACAAACGACCUAUAUGGUCGUUUUGUUGGAGGACAGGGUGACUCUUUUACAUUACUGUUGGUUGACUUUAUCCCACUCCUGGUGCAAAAACUCAAGCAGCUCCGCUUUAAGUAGAAACUAUUGACACACAUUGACCCUCUCUGAAAAGCUUCCUCUUUCUUCUUUCUUUGUUAAAGUGGUGUAGUUUCCUGGUGUGUCAGUAGUGCUGCUGUCUGUCUGUCAGUGAAGACGCUGCGUGAGACUCGAUCUGACUCUCUUCUGCUGGGAUUGAGCUCUUCUGGAAACUGGACUUUAGAGAAAUGAUGCUGAUCUUUGGACUGAUGCUGCUGCUGCAAACUGCUGCAUGUCUGGAUAGUUUCUGCUGGUUUGAUCAGUCUGAACCCUGUUACGCAGCUCUGGGAAAUAACCUCAAUCUGCCGAUGGAGCGGGACGCUCAAGAAUAUGAGCUGAAGAUAAUAAAGAGAAUAAACAACAACACACAAGAUGAUCCAGUUUGUAGAGUAAAAUAUGGCAGGAUAAGGAUGAGGGAAUGUGAUCUUUAUAAUAACAGACCUGAAGUGACAGUCAUUAAUGGCUUUCUGAUAAUAAACCGUGUGAUCAGAGCAGAUUCUGGGAAUUACAGAUUAACAGUCUCUCGUUCAGGCGGCACAGAAACAUCUAGAGAUCUUCAAGUGAUUGUUGAAGCUCCUAUUGGCUCAGUGGAAGUGUCAAUCAUCUGCUCCUCCAGUGGGGUGAUGAGGGUGUUCUGCUCCUCUGAGGGGGAUCAGCUCCUCUACAGCUGGACUCUGAAUGGAGAUCCACUGAUGGAUGGAAACAGCAGCAUUGAUCUGGAUGAGAGAACUGAUGGAGACAUCAGCUGCAGCGUGAAGAACCACGUCAGUCAAGCACAGAAGAACAUUAGACUCAAACCCUGUCCCGGACCAACUACUGCAGCUGUGACCUCUAGUUUGACCUCUACGUCGACACAGACAUCAGAAUAUGCUCUGGAACACAAACUCAAUCUGCUGAUGGAGCGGGACGCUCGAGAAUAUGACCUGAAGAUAAUAAAGAGAAUAAACAACACACAAGAUGAUCCAAUUUGUAGAGUAAAAUAUGGCAGGAAAAAGGAAUGUGAUCUUUAUAAUAACAGAAUUGAAGUGAAUAUCAUUAAUGCGACUGUGAUAAUAAACCGUGUGAUCAGAGAAGAUUCUGGGAAUUACAGAUUACUACUCUUUCACUCAGACGGCACAGAAACAUCUAGAGAUCUUCAAGUGAUUGUUGAAGCUCCUAUUGGCUCAGUGGAAGUGUCAAUCAUCUGCUCCUCCAGUGGGGUGAUGAGGGUGUCCUGCUCCUCUGAGGGGGAUCAGCUCCUCUACAGCUGGACUCUGAAUGGAGAUCCACUGAUGGAUGGAAACAGCAGCAUUGAUCUGGAUGAGGGGAACUGA
ensembl:lncRNA